rnacentral:lncRNA from 1 species
GGAAUUAAAAAAAAAUUCCAGCACCUUUUAAGCACAUAACAAUGGACAUUUACAUAACAAUAACGACAUCCUCUAGUUGUUAUUAAACACUGGAUACACUGGUCACGUACAAUGGAUUUUUGCCCAUGGUUUUCCUUUCAUUCCUUUAUUUCUUUAGUCAUUCAGAAAAUAAUGACUGUGGAUAUAGCAGGGACCUAACCAUGUAAAUAUUACUUUCUAAAGGGACACGGUUGGUUGCUUAUCUUCUCCAGAAUUGACUAUAGCAGUAUUUCUGAUUCCUGCUUCUCUCACAGAUCCUUGCCACACCUGCAUCAGGAGCUUAUGGAUUUCCCUUCCAUCGGAAACUGGCCAGGGAUUUGUAACUACAAAUCUGCAGGACUUACACACUCUGUGACAUUGAAGACAAAAUUGUAAGAGGCAAAGCAACUUCUCUCCUCACUUGCUUUGGAGUCCUGAGCCUCCACGUAGGCCCCUUGGCCGUGCUAACACGGUCCUGCAGGGGAGAGCACACACGGUCACAGAAGGUAGCUGGACACGGCUUGCUCCAGCCCCAGGGUGUUUCAGUCUUCAGGUGCAGGGCAUGCAUGAUUCUGAGCCCCAGCCACCAUGUACCCGUGUCAGAUUCUGACAGAAAACUCAGCAGUAACCCCAGUCAACCUUCAGAUUCAGGAACAAAACAAUGAUGCUUAUUGUUUUCUUAAGACGUCAUUUUGGAGUAAUAUGCUAGGCAAUAGUUGUUUCCCGUGGGAGGAUAAGGCUAGUCCUAUAACUCCAUGUUGAUCAGAAGUACAAAGCUUUCAUUAAGUUAUUAAAGGGUUACUUUUUGGGGCACCUGAUUGUCUCAGUCAACAAAGCGUCUGCCUUCAGCUCAGGUCAUGAGUCUAGAGUCCUAGGAUGGAGCCUCCAGGUCAGUCUCCCUGCUAAGUGGGGGGAAGUCCUCUUCUCCCUCUCUGCUCCCCUCAUCCUGUCCUUGCUCAUGCUCUCUUGCUCUCUUUCUCUUCAAAUAAAUAAAAUAAAAUAAAGGAUUACCUUGCA